rnacentral:lncRNA from 1 species
UAUAGAAAUGGAUGGGUUUGUAAAUGAUAUCCUACAUCACCAGCUAUAGAAAUGGAUGGGUUUGUAAAUGAUAUCCUACGUCACCAGCUGUAGAAAUGGAUGGGUUUGUAAAUUAUAUCCUACAUCACCAGCUAUAGAAAUGGAUGGGUUUGUAAAUUAUAUCCUACGUCACCAGCUAUAGAAAUGGAUGGGUUUGUAAAUGAUAUCCUACGUCACCAGCUAUAGAAAUGGAUGGGUUUGUAAAUUAUAUCCUACGUCACCAGCUAUAGAAAUGGAUGGGUUUGUAAAUGAUAUCCUACGUCACCAGCUAUAGAAAUGGAUGGGUUUGUAAAUUAUAUCCUACGUCACCAGCUGUAGAAAUGAUGUAACACUACGGGGGGAAAUGACUGCUGGUUUGGGAUGUAACACUACGGGGGAAAUGACUGCUGGUUUGGGAUGUAACACUACUGGGAAAAUAACUGCUGGUUUGGGAUGUAACACUACGGGGGGAAAUGACUGCUGGUUUGGGAUGUAACACUACGGGGGGAAAUGACUGCUGGUUUGGGAUGUAACACUACGGGGGAAAUGACUGCUGGUUUGGGAUGUAACACUACGGGGGUAAUGACUGCUGGUUUGGGAUGUAACACUACGGGGGUAAUGACUGCUGGUUUGGGAUGUAACACUACGGGGGUAAUGACUGCUGGUUUGGGAUGUAACACUACGGGGGAAAUGACUGCUGGUUUGGGAUGUAACACUACGGGGUAAAUGACUGCUGGUUUGGGAUGUAACACUACGGGGGUAAUGACUGCUGGUUUGGGAUGUAACACUACGGGGGAAAUGACUGCUGGUUUGGGAUGUAACACUACGGGGGUAAUGACUGCUGGUUUGGGAUGUAACACUACGGGGUAAAUGACUGCUGGUUUGGGAUGUAACACUACGGGGGUAAUGACUGCUGGUUUGGGAUGUAACACUACGGGGGUAAUGACUGCUGGUUUGGGAUGUAACACUACGGGGUAAAUGACUGCUGGUUUGGGUCUUAUUGGGGAGUUUGGUAAUAACACAACGGUCGGGAUUAUGGCACAUUUUACACAGAUAACUAUUGGCAGUUUACUGUGACAAGUCGUACUGAACCAUAUUCCUAGACUGUGACAAGUCGUACUGAACCAUAUUCCUAGACUGUGACAAGUCGUACUGAACCAUAUU